AUGCGAAGAUCCCAGCAGAGGGGCGAGUAACUCUUCGUUAAUGAGGUCUCUCUAACUAUUACUAUCAGUAACCUUCGCAGAUUGAUUUGCCGAAUCGUAGGAUUGCCAAAAUGCUUCGUAUUUUUGGUGCAUCUGGAAAAUUCGGCUACAUCCAA